AAGAAGCAGGCUCACAGCAGAAGAGCCCGAUGUGGGGCUCGAUCCCAUAACGCCGGGAUCACGCCCUGAGCCGAAGGCAGACGCCUAACCGCUGUGCCACCCAGGCGCCCCUGUUAGGUUGUAGAUGUCUUUACCAUUAACAAUGUUUUUACUUUACAUUUUUGUUGUCUGAUGUAUUAUAGGGACACUACCUUUCCUUCAGUUAGUAUUUUCCUGAUAAAUCGUUUUCCUUUUCCUUUCAGCCUUUCUUUACCCCCGUUUGUCAGUUCUUUGUCUUGUAAAGAGCAUGUGGCUGCACAUGGUUUUUCUUUGUCUCGUUUGGCAAUGUUUGUGCUUUAACUGCAGCAGUUCGUCUUUUUACCUGCAUGAUAAUUCAUAUGCUAGUGAUAGUUCAUCCAUAAAAUUGUGUACACUUUCUCUUUAUUCCACUUUCCCAUGCUUCUUUCACGUUUUGUGCCUUAUUUUGGAUUGAGGGUUUUUCUUUUCCAUUUUUUCCCUUCUACUAGUUUAGACGGUAGACAUUCUGUUUCUCUUAUUUUAGAUGCACGGUGAGUGUUUCAAAGUUUCUUCUCAGUGUCUUUAUUCCCCUUGAACAGCACAAGAGCACUGGAAUUCCAGUCAUCCAUCCUGACUUUAAGGCUGUUACUGUCAUGGAUUUUAGUUCUAGCCUGUUUCUGUAAACGGGAGAACAAAAACUUCUUGUUUUACACGAUGACCAUCCACUUAGAUUUGCUCACACAUUUCUCACUUUUAUUGCUCAUUCUUCUGUCCUACGGUUCGUAUUUUCCCUCUGAUAUUACUUCUUGCUGAUGAGCUGAAUUCUUUAGAAUCUCCUUUAGUCAAGAUCUGUUUAUUGCAAAAUAGUUCCAUUUUUACUCACUUACCUGAAAGUGUUCUCCAUUCGUCCGCAAUCUUGCACGAUGGCUGGGAAUGCAGUUCUGGGUUGACAGCUAUUUUUGUCUCGCCACAUGGAAUACCUUGUUCUCUCAUCUCCUUGUUCCCAUUCUACUAUUGAGAAGUCAGCAGUAAAUCUCAUUUUGGUUUCAUCUAGGUAAUCUGUCUUCUAUUUCCAGCUGCUUUGAAAUCAUCACAUUGUCUUUGGUGUUCUCUGGUUUCUAGGUGUGUGUUUUUUUUUUUAAAGAUUUAUUUAUAGAAGAACGUGCACAUGAGCAGGAAGGGCAGAGGGAAAGGAAGAGAGAGAGAAUCCUCAUGCAGACUCCCUGCUGCACACAGAGCCUGAUGCGGGACUCCAUCCCAGGACCCUGAGAUCACGGCCUGAGCUGAAAUCGAGAGUCUGCCUUGGAACCAACUGAGGCCUCCAGGCGCCCCCCAGCAGUGUUUUCACCCUGACACCAACCAUGAACUUUAUUCAGAAAUCUGUCUGCAAAGGCAGAGAUCGGGAAAGGUAUAAGAAACGCUGACCUCAAGCCCAAUUCCCCAUGUAGCUCGAACCCCUAAGAAAGAAUCUUAAGCCGACCUUGAUGUUUCUUGAAGACAAUAAUCCUGUGCAGGGAGAGAAGGGAAGGUUCUGGGAACAGAUGUGCCAGUGUCAAACCACAGGCUGAGCCUCGCGCCGGGCCCCACUCCUGAAUACGAACUGACAGGCAAGGAUCAUGCACAGCUGAGGAAAGCAUCCAACACAAAAGCCAAGAGACUCUUCAAGACGAGCAAGGAAAACUGGAAGAAAAAGAUAGGAAAGAACUCGACAAGAAAAACUCUUUUUCGAAAGCACCAACGCAUAGUGGUGAUGUCUACACGCGACCACGCUGUUUACUUCACACCUAGAAAUGCUUCCGAUGGUAACUUUGAUGUGUACUUUGCCACAAUUAAGAAAAAUUCCUCAACACCCAGAGAGUGACAUUAAAACCUCCCUAAGUACUUGGAGAGUGACCCCAUGUGGACAUUUCGGAAAACUCAGUAUUGCAAAGAUACCCAUUGUUGGUUAUAGCGUAACAAUCGAGUUCUUACUGUUG